UUUGGAAAUGGCCUUAUAACCCUUUCCAGUUUGAUAGGCAUCAACAAUUUCUUUUCUACUAAUGUAUUUCCUUGUUGGCUUUGUGUUAACACACACCUGAAUGCUCCAAACUGCUAAAACUUUCACUUUUAUAGAAGUGGUAACACUUGAUGAAGAUUAAUCAUGGGCAUUUGAUAAGCAGCACAUUUAUGAUAAUAAGCCUCUUAAUUCCUAUGGCAUCUCCAUUUUGGGUUGUAU